GGUUAAGCGAAUGAAGCGUACACGGUGGAUGCCUAGGCAGUCAGAGGCGAUGAAGGACGUGCUAAUCUGCGAAAAGCGUCGGUAAGCUGAUAUGAAGCGUUAUAGCCGGCGAUGUCCGAAUGGGGAAACCCAGUGCAUUAAUGCACUAUCGUUUGAUGAAUUCAUAGUCAAACGAGGCGAACCGGGGGAACUGAAACAUCUCAGUACCCCGAGGAAAAGAAAUCAACCGAGAUUCCCCUAGUAGCGGCGAGCGAACGGGGAGUAGCCCAGAGUCAGCAUCGAUAUUAGCAUCAGGAGAAGGGUCUGGAAAGGCCAGCCAUAAAGGGUGAUAGCCCCGUAUCCGAAGGUGUUAGUAUCGUGAGCUCGAAGAGUAGGGCGGGACACGUGUUAUCCUGUCUGAAUAAGGGGGGACCAUCCUCCAAGGCUAAAUACUCCUGACUGACCGAUAGUGAACCAGUACCGUGAGGGAAAGGCGAAAAGAACCCCGGCGAGGGGAGUGAAAGAGAACCUGAAACCGUGUACGUACAAGCAGUGGGAGCCCCACCACCAAAGUAUUUCUGCAAGCGGUUUGACGGUUGGCGGCGCACAGCGACGCCCAACCCAUCCAAUCAAGCAGGGUGAAUACCAUCGAAUCAAGGCGCGAGGUUCAGGCCAAAUCAGGUAAAACCUGAAUCCGGUUGAAUCAAGCAAAUUGACGAAGAUGAGAGGGAUUGCCGAAGGCAAUCGCCGCAAAGUACGGAGUACUUUGGGGUGGGGUGACUGCGUACCUUUUGUAUAAUGGGUCAGCGACUUAUAUUCUGUAGCAAGGUUAACCGCAUAGGGGAGCCGUAGGGAAACCGAGUCUUAACUGGGCGUCAAGUUGCAGGGUAUAGACCCGAAACCCGGUGAUCUAGCCAUGGGCAGGUUGAAGGUUGGGUAACACUAACUGGAGGGCCGAACCGACUAAUGUUGAAAAAUUAGCGGAUGACUUGUGGCUGGGGGUGAAAGGCCAAUCAAACCGGGAGAUAGCUGGUUCUCCCCGAAAGCUAUUUAGGUAGCGCCUCGUGAACUCAUCUUCGGGGGUAGAGCACUGUUUCGGCUAGGGGGUCAUCCCGACUUACCAACCCGAUGCAAACUCCGAAUACCGAAGAAUGUAAUCACGGGAGACACACGGCGGGUGCUAACGUCCGUCGUGAAGAGGGAAACAACCCAGACCGCCAGCUAAGGUCCCCAAGUCAUGGUUAAGUGGGAAACGAAGUGGGAAGGCUUAGACAGCCAGGAUGUUGGCUUAGAAGCAGCCAUCAUUUAAAGAAAGCGUAAUAGCUCACUGGUCGAGUCGGCCUGCGCGGAAGAUGUAACGGGGCUAAACCAUGCACCGAAGCUGCGGCAGCAACAGCAAUGUUGUUGGGUAGGGGAGCGUUCUGUAAGCCGUUGAAGGUGGAUUGAGAGGUCUGCUGGAGGUAUCAGAAGUGCGAAUGCUGACAUAAGUAACGAUAAAGCGGGUGAAAAACCCGCUCGCCGAAAGACCAAGGGUUCCUGUCCAACGUUAAUCGGGGCAGGGUAAGUCGACCCCUAAGGCGAGGCUGAAAAGCAUAGUCGAUGGGAAACGGGUUAAUAUUCCCGUACUAAGGGUUACUGCGAAGUGGGGACGGAGAAGGCUAGGCUAUCCGGGCGACGGUUGUCCCGGUUUAAGCGUGUAGGUGGGUCGUGCAGGCAAAUCCGUACGACUAUAACACUGAGGCGUGAUGACGAGCCACCAAGGUGGUGAAGUAGUUGAUGCCCAGCUUCCAGGAAAAGCCGCUAAGCGAUAGGUAAUCAUUAAUCGUACCCCAAACCGACACAGGUGGUUAGGUAGAGAAUACUCAGGCGCUUGAGAGAACUCGGGUGAAGGAACUAGGCAAAAUGGUGCCGUAACUUCGGGAGAAGGCACGCUGGUGUUAGGUGAAAUGGUUAACCCAUGGAGCUGAAGCCAGUCGCAGAUACCAGCUGGCUGCAACUGUUUAUUAAAAACACAGCACUGUGCAAACACGAAAGUGGACGUAUACGGUGUGACGCCUGCCCGGUGCUGGAAGGUUAAUUGAUGGGGUAAGCCGUAAGGCGAAGCUCUUGAUCGAAGCCCCAGUAAACGGCGGCCGUAACUAUAACGGUCCUAAGGUAGCGAAAUUCCUUGUCGGGUAAGUUCCGACCUGCACGAAUGGCGUAAUGAUGGCCAGGCUGUCUCCACCCGAGACUCAGUGAAAUUGAACUCGCUGUGAAGAUGCAGUGUACCCGCGGCAAGACGGAAAGACCCCGUGAACCUUUACUAUAGCUUGACACUGAACAUUGAGCCUUGAUGUGUAGGAUAGGUGGGAGGCUAGGAAGUGUGGACGCCAGUCUGCAUGGAGCCAACGUUGAAAUACCACCCUUUAAUGUUUGAUGUUCUAACUUAGGCCCGUUAUCCGGGCUGAGGACAGUGUCUGGUGGGUAGUUUGACUGGGGCGGUCUCCUCCCAAAGUGUAACGGAGGAGCACGAAGGUUGGCUAAUCACGGUCGGACAUCGUGAGGUUAGUGCAAAGGCAUAAGCCAGCUUGACUGCGAGCGUGACGGCGCGAGCAGGUACGAAAGUAGGUCUUAGUGAUCCGGUGGUUCUGAAUGGAAGGGCCAUCGCUCAACGGAUAAAAGGUACUCCGGGGAUAACAGGCUGAUACCGCCCAAGAGUUCAUAUCGACGGCGGUGUUUGGCACCUCGAUGUCGGCUCAUCACAUCCUGGGGCUGAAGUAGGUCCCAAGGGUAUGGCUGUUCGCCAUUUAAAGUGGUACGCGAGCUGGGUUUAGAACGUCGUGAGACAGUUCGGUCCCUAUCUGUCGUGGGCGAAGGAAGAUUGAGGGGGGCUGCUCCUAGUACGAGAGGACCGGAGUGGACGCACCACUGGUGUACAGGUUGUCAUGCCAAUGGCAUCGCCUGGUAGCUAAGUGCGGAAGAGAUAACCGCUGAAAGCAUCUAAGCGGGAAACUUGCCUCAAGAUGAGUCUUCCCUGACAGUAAUGUCCUAUAAGGGGUGUUCGAGACGAGGACGUAGAUAGGCUGGGUGUGUAAGCGUAGCGAUACGUUGAGCUAACCAGUACUAAUGACCCGAGAGGCUUAACCUG
rnacentral:rRNA from 1 species